GCCCCCGUAGCUCAGGUGGAUAGAGCUCGGGAUUCCUAAUCCCGGUGUCGCGUGUUCGAGUCACGCCGGGGGCACCA
rnacentral:tRNA from 1 species